AUGUUCCCGCCGGGAUCUGUUGAGGGCAGGCAGCAGCCUCAAGAGAGGAGGUCAUCCCUGCCGGUAAAGAUCAGAUCUUCUAAGACAAAGCAGAGGAUGGCACUCUCCCUGGGUCCAGAGACUUACGACACAAACCAUGUUUUGGCCUGGAGAGAUCCCGGUUUGCCUACACCAGUUUAUGUCAGAAUGGAUAGUUCAGGAGUUUUUUACACAUAUCCUACUCUGGGUGAUAAGCCGUUGCAGAGCCUUGAAGAAGUUGGAAGUGCUGUUGAUUCCUAUGCUUGUCCCAAUGGUCCCAAUAGCAAUGUCAUGUCUGAUAAGAUGCUUUCAAAGAAGGAACGUGCUGUACAGGAACAUCUUUACUUCCCAAAUGGCACCAGCAAGGAUCUUGUGGAUGAACUCGAAGAAAUUGUUCAUUGGCAAUCAAUCUGCGAAGGUGUCGAAUGGUACUAUUAUCUCAAUAUCACUGUGAAGACCAAAGAGGGUGCCGAUGAUGCGGGCAGCACCAGUCUAUUCUUCGUUGAAGUCGCAUGUGAUUCAAAUGAUAUCACAGGAUAUUAUAUCAACACUUUCUCCAGGGUUAACACUGAUGGCCAGGAUAUAGAUCAGAACGAUACACUAGGAUGUUUUAUCCGCAUUUUCUGUGGUGUUAACGCUGAUGGCAAGGAUAAUUUACACUCAUAUCUCAAAUACGGCUGCGCUAUUAGCUCUCUUCGUUGGAAACAACGCUUGAAUGUAGUAACGGAUUACUAUGCUAUGAUGGAGUCAAUGAUGGAGCUACCUGCCAUGGCUGUACAAACAAUAAAAGUGAUGGUAUCUCAGGAUGAAGAACUGAUAAAAAGAGAGGAGAAAAGGAUAAGAGAAUUCUUUGAGUUCCUUGAUGAUGCUGAAUUUUUGGAGAAUAUGCGCUGCAAACGUCUUAAUUAUCCACGGAAACAUGAAAUACAUCUCCAGGAUCGAGUCCCAAUCUCCUUCAAUGUAUGUUUA
rnacentral:rRNA from 1 species